CCCAGGCCAACAAUGCCCACUGGGGUGACCUCAAGAGUAGACCCUGAGGGGGGAGGGGAAGGGAGAGAUGGGUUCCCCCCAUGGAUCAAGUGAUUAUUGGCCCCUGAUUCUUUCAGCAAAUAUUUACUUCACAGGGUCCCAUACUGAAAACUGAGGUCUUUGGCAACUCCAGGAGGAGAGCUCUCUGUCACAUUUCCUGGAACAGGAGGUAGGGUGGAUCGCACAGUCGUGGGCCCUAGCAGCCCAGCAGCUCAGCCUAUGCCAAAUUGCCGUUUUUCUAAUUUUGGGCUGGGCCACUCCUCCUUAAGCAGCCCGGCAGCUCUCCACCACUAGGUUCUGAACAUAAAAUGGACUCAGUCUAGUCCAAGUGCAGCUCGGGGCUCCUGAACUCCAAGACUCCCCUAGCUGCCUCUUCCUCUCCAGCAGCAGCACCCGUGGGGAGGUCCCAUCACCUCAGUCUUCAAGGCAGGUCUUGAAAGCCAAGGCAGGUGGCACAGGGCCUCAGAGCCACACCCUUGAAAGGUGACAUUCAGACCCCCUGGGGAAGGAUGAAUCCAGGGAAGCUUUGGAGCCUCUUCGCCACCAUUCCCAGAGGUGCCACACAGGAGCCAUUCCUUCUGGAGAUAGACUGGUCCUUCCUUUGACCUUGGUGGGAGAACAGGCAAAGAGGACGGAACUCAGGCCCCACCAGGAGAAAGAAGGGGUCAUCCAGCAGAUGCUGCUGCAUCACCCUUGGCAGCCUCCUCUUCCUCCUCUCAGCCCUGGCUGUCCGUGGCUUCUGCGGCUUAUUCUGGGGAAGUGUCUCCUGGGACAGGAAACAGGAUCACAAGACUUGGAGCAGGGAAGGACUUCAGAAGGCAUCUAAUCCAAACUGUUUUACAGAUAAAGAAACUGACACCCAACAGAGGAAAAAGUCACAUGUUUGUGGUUACUAAGCAAAGGAGGCUGCGUUAUUCAAUGGGCCAUUCAAGUUGUGAAUGUACUUCUGGCAAGUUUGCUUCUCCAUGCAU